rnacentral:misc_RNA from 1 species
UUAAGUUCAGCGGGUAUUCCUACCUGAUCCGAGGUCAACCUUGAGAAGUGGGGUGUUUUACGGCACGACCACACCAGUUUCCAGGACGGGGUAUAGUACUACGCCAAGGUAACGCUGGUGGGAUCGCCACUAGAUUUUGGGAGCGAUCGGGUCUAGCCGAUCGACUCCCAACACCAAGCACGAGGCUUGAGGGGUUGAAA